rnacentral:rRNA from 1 species
UACGAAGGGGGCUAGCGUUGCUCGGAAUCACUGGGCGUAAAGCGCGUGUAGGCGGUCCGGUAAGUCCGCUGUGAAAGUCGGGGGCUCAACCCUCGGAUGCCGGUGGAUACUGUCGGGCUUGAGUACGGAAGAGGCGAGUGGAAUUCCUGGUGUAGCGGUGAAAUGCGCAGAUAUCAGGAGGAACACCAAUUGCGAAGGCAGCUCGCUGGGACGUUACUGACGCUGAGACGCGAAAGCGUGGGGAGCAAACAGG